AGCUGGCAAGCAUAAAGAAUCAAGUAGUUGUGUGAGGCCAGUUGUGCUCUUGACUUAACUUUUGAGGCAAAGAAGUUUCUGACUUGCCUAAU